GGUCCGCUGGCUCAAUGGCAGAGCGUCUGACUACGAUUCUUCGUCUCCGACCAAGAAGUUAUCAGGAGGUUCCAGGUUCGACCCCUGGGUGGAUCG
rnacentral:tRNA from 1 species